rnacentral:rRNA from 1 species
AACGAACGCUGGCGGCAGGCUUAACACAUGCAAGUCGAGCGCCCCGCAAGGGGAGCGGCAGACGGGUGAGUAACGCGUGGGAAUCUACCCAUCACUACGGAACAACUCCGGGAAACUGGAGCUAAUACCGUAUACGUCCUUCGGGAGAAAGAUUUAUCGGUGAUGGAUGAGCCCGCGUUGGAUUAGCUUGUUGGUGGGGUAAUGGCCCACCAAGGCGACGAUCCAUAGCAGGUCUGAGAGGAUGAUCAGCCACACUGGGACUGAGACACGGCCCAGACUCCUACGGGAGGCAGCAGUGGGGAAUAUUGGACAAUGGGCGCAAGCCUGAUCCAGCCAUGCCGCGUGAGUGAUGAAGGCCCUAGGGUUGUAAAGCUCUUUCACCGGUGAAGAUAAUGACGGUAACCGGAGAAGAAGCCCCGGCUAACUUCGUGCCAGCAGCCGCGGUAA